rnacentral:rRNA from 1 species
CAAUAGCGUAUAUUUAAGUUGCUGCAGUUAAAAAGCUCGUAGUUGGAUUUCGGGUGGGAAUGGCCGGUCCGCCGUUUCGGUGUGCACUUGCUACGCCCACCUUGCUGCCGGGGACGUGCUCUUGAGUUCACGCUCGGGACACGGAGUCGGCGAGGUUACUUUGAGUAAAUUAGAGUGUUCAAAGCAGGCCUACGCUCUGAAUACAUUAGCAUGGAAUAACACGAUAGGACUCUGGCCUAUCUUGUUGGUCUGUAGGACCGGAGUAAUGAUUAAGAGGGACAGUCGGGGGCAUUCGUAUUUCAUUGUCAGAGGUGAAAUUCUUGGAUUUACGGAAGACGAACAUCUGCGAAAGCAUUUGCCAAGGAUGUUUUCAUUGA